GUGAACGCUGGCGGUAGGCCUAACACAUGCAAGUCGAACGGCAGCACAGAGGAGCUUGCUCCUUGGGUGGCGAGUGGCGGACGGGUGAGGAAUACAUCGGAACCUACUCUUUCGUGGGGGAUAACGGAGGGAAACUUACGCUAAUACCGCAUACGACCUUCGGGUGAAAGCAGGGGAUCGCAAGACCUUGCGCGAUUGAAUGAGCCGAUGUCGGAUUAGCUAGUUGGCGGGGUAAAGGCCCGCCAAGGCGACGAUCCGUAGCUGGUCUGAGAGGAUGAUCAGCCACACUGGAACUGAGAAACGGUCCAGACUCCUACGGGAGGCAGCAGUGGGGAAUAUUGGACAAUGGGCGCAAGCCUGAUCCAGCCAUACCGCGUGGGUGAAGAAGGCCUUCGGGUUGUAAAGCCCUUCUGUUGGGAAAGAAAAGCACACGGUUAAUACCCGAGUGUUCUGACGGUACCCAAAGAAUAAGCACCGGCUAACUUCGUGCCAGCAGCCGCCGUAA
rnacentral:rRNA from 1 species